rnacentral:rRNA from 1 species
CGCUGGCGGCAGGCCUAACACAUGCAAGUCGAGCGGAUUAAGAGAGCUUGCUCUCUGAUUCAGCGGCGGACGGGUGAGUAAUGCCUAGGAAUCUGCCUGGUAGUGGGGGACAACGUUUCGAAAGGAACGCUAAUACCGCAUACGUCCUACGGGAGAAAGCAGGGGACCUUCGGGCCUUGCGCUAUCAGAUGAGCCUAGGUCGGAUUAGCUAGUUGGUGAGGUAAUGGCUCACCAAGGCGACGAUCCGUAACUGGUCUGAGAGGAUGAUCAGUCACACUGGAACUGAGACACGGUCCAGACUCCUACGGGAGGCAGCAGUGGGGAAUAUUGGACAAUGGGCGAAAGCCUGAUCCAGCCAUGCCGCGUGUGUGAAGAAGGUCUUCGGAUUGUAAAGCACUUUAAGUUGGGAGGAAGGGUUGUAGAUUAAUACUCUGCAAUUUUGACGUUACCGACAGAAUAAGCACCGGCU